CAAUAGCGUAUAUUAAAGUUGUUGCAGUUAAAAAGCUCGUAGUUGGAUUUCUGGCAGGGGCGAACGGUCACACACAAUGUGUGUGAGCUUGUUUGUUCCGCCAUCCUUGGUGAGAUCCUAUUUGGCUUUAAGUUGUCGGGUAGGGGAUAACCAUCGUUUACUGUGAAAAAAUUAGAGUGUUUAAAGCAGGCUUAUGCCGUUGAAUAUAUUAGCAUGGAAUAAUAAGAUAGGACUUUCGGUCUAUUUUGUUGGUUUGCGAGUGAAAGUAAUGACUAAUAGGGACAGUUGGGGGUAUUCGUAUUUCAUUGUCAGAGGUGAAAUUCUUGGAUUUCUGAAAGACGAACUACUGCGAAAGCAUUUACCAAGGAUGUUUUCAUUAA
rnacentral:rRNA from 1 species